AAAAGUUUGAUCUCAAUGCUUCUAAUAUUUUCAUACUUUUAUCGCUGCAGAUUUGUGGAGUUACUUCGAUAGCCUAACCAUGGUUAUGUUCAUCGGGUUAUUGUGCACUCAUUCUGCAAUAUGGUUGAAAAGGGAUUGUUGAGUGUCAGCUUAAAAAUUCGAAUUGCAGCAGGGCCACUUUGAUGAGUGAAAGAGAAAACAAUUGAGCAGCAGAGUCUCUAGGUUUUUGAAUCCUUGCUCCCCUGCAUUUUCUUUGCUUUUCGGAGGAAUUCUUGAGCAAAUAUUUGAACCAUCUCAGAGCUACUUUUCUUAGUUUUUAGUUCUUUGCCAUGUCUUGCCAGAUCAUAGUUUAAGCUGAUUGCCUGUUUCUGAACAAUAUGUUCCCAUUACCACGUUCAGAAUUGCCUGUGACUGAACCAAA